rnacentral:tRNA from 1 species
UGGCAUAGUGGUUAAGAGUUUGGCUGCUAACCAAAAGGUCGGCGGUUCAAAUCCACC